rnacentral:rRNA from 1 species
AAAAAAGGUAAGCUACUAAGAGCGAAUGGUGGAUGCCUUGACUGGUAAAGGCGAUGAAGGACGUACUAGACUGCGAUAAGCUACGGGGAGCUGUCAAGAAGCUUUGAUCCGUAGAUUUCCGAAUGGGGCAACCCAAUGUAUAGAGAUAUACAUUACCUAUAUAGGAGCGAACGAGGGGAAUUGAAACAUCUUAGUACCCUCAGGAAAAGAAAUCAAUAGAGAUUGCGUCAGUAGCGGCGAGCGAAAGCGCAAGAGGGCAAACCCAGUGCUUGCACUGGGGGUUGUAGGACUGCAAUGUGCAAGAGGUAAGUUUAGCAGAACAUUCUGGAAAGUAUAACCAUAGAGGGUGAUAGUCCCGUAUGCGAAAAACAAACCUUAGCUAGCAGUAUCCUGAGUAGGGCGGGACACGAGGAAUCCUGUCUGAAUCCGGGUCGACCACGAUCCAACCCUAAAUACUAAUACCAGAUCGAUAGUGCACAAGUACCGUGAGGGAAAGGUGAAAAGAACUGAGGUGAUCAGAGUGAAAUAGAACCUGAAACCAUUUGCUUACAAUCAUUCAGAGCCCUAUGUAGCAAUACAGGGUGAUGGACUGCCUUUUGCAUAAUGAGCCUGCGAGUUGUGGUGUCUGGCAAGGUUAAGCAAACGCGAAGCCGUAGCGAAAGCGAGUCUGAAUAGGGCGCUUAGUCAGAUGCUGCAGACCCGAAACGAAGUGAUCUAUCCAUGAGCAAGUUGAAGCUAGUGUAAGAACUAGUGGAGGACUGAACCCAUAGGCGUUGAAAAGCCCCGGGAUGACUUGUGGAUAGGGGUGAAAGGCCAAUCAAACUUCGUGAUAGCUGGUUCUCUCCGAAAUAUAUUUAGGUAUAGCGUUGUGUCGUAAUAUAAGGGGGUAGAGCACUGAAUGGGCUAGGGCAUACACCAAUGUACCAAACCCUAUCAAACUCCGAAUACCUUAUAUGUAAUCACAGCAGUCAGGCGGCGAGUGAUAAAAUCCGUCGUCAAGAGGGAAACAACCCAGACUACCAGCUAAGGUCCCUAAAUCUUACUUAAGUGGAAAACGAUGUGAAGUUACUUAAACAACCAGGAGGUUGGCUUAGAAGCAGCCAUCCUUUAAAGAAAGCGUAAUAGCUCACUGGUCUAGUGAUUUUGCGCGGAAAAUAUAACGGGGCUAAAGUAAGUACCGAAGCUGUAGACUUGCACACAACUUAGAUUAUUUAAGUUUAGAAUAUGAGAAACUAAGUUAUAUGUUUAGUUAUAUUUUUACUGAUUUUUAUAGAGUAAAGAUAGAAAUAAAACUUAGUAAAAUCAGUAAAAAUAUUCUUAGACUAAAGUUAAGUAGUUUAAGUUGUGUGCAAGUGGUAGGAGAGCGUUCUAUUUGCGUCGAAGGUAUACCGGUAAGGAGUGCUGGAGCGAAUAGAAGUGAGCAUGCAGGCAUGAGUAGCGAUAAUUAAUGUGAGAAUCAUUAACGCCGUAAACCCAAGGUUUCCUACGCGAUGCUCGUCAUCGUAGGGUUAGUCGGGUC